ACGAUAACCUUGCGAAAGUAAGACUAAUACCCAAUGAUAUCUCAAGAAGACAUCUGAAUGAGAUUAAAGAUUUAUCGGUGAUGGAUGGGGAUGCGUCUGAUUAGCUUGUUGGCGGGGUAACGGCCCACCAAGGCGACGAUCAGUAGGGGUUCUGAGAGGAAGGUCCCCCACAUUGGAACUGAGACACGGUCCAAACUCCUACGGGAGGCAGCAGUGAGGAAUAUUGGUCAAUGGACGAGAGUCUGAACCAGCCAAGUAGCGUGCAGGAUGACGGCCCUAUGGGUUGUAAACUGCUUUUAUAAGGGAAUAAAGUGAGCCUCGUGAGGCUUUUUGCAUGUACCUUAUGAAUAAGGACCGGCUAAUUCCGUGCCAGCAGCCGCGGUAAUACGGAAGGUCCGGGCGUUAUCCGGAUUUAUUGGGUUUAAAGGGAGCGUAGGCCGGAGAUUAAGCGUGUUGUGAAAUGUAGAUGCUCAACAUCUGCACUGCAGCGCGAACUGGUUUCCUUGAGUACGCACAAAGUUGGCGGAAUUCGUGGUGUAGCGGUGAAAUGCUUAGAUAUCACGAAGAACUCCGAUUGCGAAGGCAGCUCACUGGAGCGCAACUGACGCUGAAGCUCGAAAGUGCGGGUAACGAACAGGAUUAGAUA
rnacentral:rRNA from 1 species